rnacentral:rRNA from 1 species
CAUGGAGGGUGAGAAUCCCGUCCGGUUGAUCAUUUGCGUUUUACGAUACGCUUUCUAAGAGUCAAGUUGUUUGGGAUUGCAGCUUAAAAUGGGAGGUAAAUUUCUCCUAAGGCUAAAUAACGGCGAGAGACCGAUAGCGAACAAGUACCGUGAGGGAAAGAUGAAAAGAACUUUGAAAAGAGAGUUAAACAGUACGUGAAAUUGUUGAAAGGGAAACGAUUGAAGCCAGUCGUACCUUCGGGUAAUCAGCCUUUCGGGUGCGAUUCUGUGGAGUUUGAGGAGCUUAACACCUUCAUGCUUUGCAUAUUCGUGCUCUUGGGUGUACUUGCUCGUAUGGUUGGUUAACAUCAAUUUUGGUGGUCAUAAAAUGACUGGAGGAAUGUAGCUUCGAUCUCGUAUUGAAGUGUUAUAGCCUUCGGUAGAUGUGAUGAUCGAGAUUGAGGAUUGCAACGGAUACCCUUCGGGGCUACCUGUCUGGUCUCUGAUCGUUGCUCUGGUGCCGAAAGCUUGCUUACGGUUGUCAAAGUCGAUGGUCAAUAGGUUAGAACGGGUUAAAUUCGUUAAGGAUGUUGACGUAAUGG